AGAUUUUUGCCGGAGGCUCUUUGCCGGGUGCAGCUCCCGGCAAAGGCUUUGCCGGGUGCAAAAUAGCCUUUGCCGGGAGUGUCCGGCUCCGGGCAAAUUGCCUGUUUCCUGUAGCGAUUAUAAUUCUUUCUUGGAAGGCUAGCUCCUCACUACCAUCACUUUGAUCAAAUUGUACCUUUGUGCCUUUAUAGCCACGAGACAUGAGGGAGGCUCGAAGAUAGAGGCUGUCGUUUGUUGAUGGUGAUACGGGCAAGGGACAUGGAAGGGACCUAAUUUGCGUUCACGACGACGGGCACCUACAUACAUGGGCCAAAUGCCAACACGGACACCAUCACACGACACCUGCACGAGCGGGCCGGAUGGCAACGCACCAAACCACAACGGGUUUGCGCCCGAGAGCAUGUAUGUCAGAACGUUUAUCUCUCCCGCUAAGGGCUACUUUGGCAGCCAUAGGGUAAUUAACCCUGGGAAGUAAUCGGAGGGGAGGGAAUUUUUUGGACAGCUGAACCCACGUCUAACCACAGGGGAGAUAUCCACGCUUGGAGAAUUUCCCUGCUGUUGUUUGGAAGCCAAGGGCAGAUGGCUUCGGUCAUCAAGAAAUGUGCUGUGCCACACUCGUCUUCCUCUCUCAAACAUCACUAGCAGCCACCGCACAUUCUCCUCGUCUUCGUUGUUGUCACGUAACUAAAUGCGUACAGACCUGCAUAUUGUCAUUGUACCACACCUUUCCACAAAGACAUAUACAUAGAAAAUAGCAGAAAAAAUAAUAUGAAAAAAAUUAAGGCACCAGAUCGAAUCAACUUCGUACAGAAGUUCUGGUCGAGACCUUUUCUGACAAAGCUAAUAUAAGAAAGUGAGUGCCAUAAGAAAAGAUACAUCAAUCGAAAUGAAAAAUUACUCUGGAUACAGUCCAAUUCAUGGAAAUUUUAAUUCAAGUAGCACCAAAUAUCCAACCCUAGUCCAUUCAUCACUAAGUCAAAUAGUCUCUACAUGCACACAUCUAGAGACAAUGAAAAAUAAAACAAGAUACUAUUUUUUGAACAAGAACUUCGGCACUAGAAUAAAUUAUGGUUUAACUCCUUUUCAAAAGCAAUGUUCGAGGAAAAAGAAACUCCUUUGCAUAAGCUUCUCAUAGGCACUGCAUUUGCAUUUUUCUUCUCAAAUCAUAAAUUGCUUCCACCAAGAGCUCUGCAAGUAAAAACAUGGAAAAACAUUAGCAUCUAGAGACAUACCUAAAAUAAACACGAAUGUCUAUGGUUCUAAAAAAACAAACAUGAAUGUGUAUGGUUCUAAAAAAAACAAGUUUUAAUACCAAGCUGUUCUGUACAAUACAUAUUGUAUGGUUCUAAUACAAACAUGAAAUUUCAGAUACAAAGCAGUUGUGUACAAGUGUUAAAAGUUUGAAGGAAAUUAAAUUAAACUAGCAAAAAAUACUAAAUGACACAGCAACAAAGAAAAGAAAGGU
rnacentral:lncRNA from 1 species